AACGUAGGACGCAAGCGUUAUCCGGAGUUACUGGGCGUAAAGGGCGCGUAGGCGGCCCUCUAAGUCGAACGUGAAAUCCCCGGGCUCAACCCGGGAACUGCGUCCGAUACUGGAGGGCUCGAAUCCGGGAGAGGGAUGUGGAAUUCCAGGUGUAGCGGUGAAAUGCGUAGAUAUCUGGAGGAACACCGGUGGCGAAGGCGGCAUCCUGGACCGGUAUUGACGCUGAGGCGCGAAAGCCAGGGGAGCAAACGGG
rnacentral:rRNA from 1 species